GUUCGUGUCCUUGUGAAUGUGUAUGUUUAGAAUUUAAUUUCCUGGGUAAAUUCUUGUACACAUUCUUGUUGUUGAGCCUUGGGCGGACAGGGGAGGUGCUGUCCGUUUGGCAAUCCGCCGCCGCGGCCGAAUCGUGCCAAAUUGGUAGUGGUUUCGGGGCGUGGCGUGACAUGGAGGGCCGAGGCGAUAUCGUAAACUCAUGAAAAUGGAUUUGAAGCACCGUGGCACAUAACCGAAGACCUUAACUUUCGGAUUGUGGAUUGGAGGCCGUUCGGAUAGUCGCGCGAGAGAUCGGGCCAAACCGGGUGCCGGGUGCGCGGGAGGCCGAUUGAAAGUGUUGACAAGCAAUCGGAAAGCGAUUUGAGGUGGGUUGUGUUUACCUAAGCGACUAAGUCGCCCUUUAUGUCUAAGAAACAUAUGAAUUCAUAUUGAUGCAUGUUAAUAAAAUGACAUAGCUAAUGCGUGUGGACAAUGUGAUGCAAACUGCUAAGUAGAUGCAUAUAAAAUGAUGUAAUAUAGAAAUGCUUAUUGACAUAAUGACAUAGUCUAGAAAUGCUAAAUGUAAUGUGCAUGUUAAUAUGAUAAGAAACCAUGCUAGUGAUAUUUGCAUGAUAAUGCAUUGAUAGUACAUGCUAGUAAGUAAAUGCAUAUUAAUACAUAUGUGUAUAAUGAGCAUGUUGGAUAAGAUUCGUGUACAUGUAGACUCGAGAUGACAAUAGGAUGUCAAGUAGAUCGAGUGGCACUUAACCUAGUGUUAAAGAACAUAGGUUGUGAAUUAAUCUAGAGUCAUGUGAACUAGAUCGAGUGGCACUUAACCUAGUGUUAAAAAACAUAGGUUGUGAAUGAAUCUAGAGUCAUGUGAACUAGAUCGAGUGGCAUCUAACCUAGUGUUAAAGAACAUAGGUUGUGAAUGAAUCUAGAGUCAUGUGAACUAGAUCGAGUGGCAUAUAACCUAGUGUUAAAGAACAUAGGUUGAGAAUGAACCUAGAGUUAAUCGAAUCUAGGUGUGUGGUAUUAACCUAGUGUCGAGAACAUAGGUUGAGAAUUGAGCCUAGAGUUAAAGUAAACCUAGGAUACGUGAUAAAGGCAUUGAACCUAGAGUCAGUUGGACCUAGGGUGAAAAGGACACUGGAUAUAACACACUGGACCUGUGCAAAUUGCGAGGUUCGAGUGAUUGGAUGUGUUUCGAGCUUUU
rnacentral:lncRNA from 1 species